rnacentral:lncRNA from 1 species
CCGCCCACCGCGCCGACCUCGUCCACGCCGUCUCCAAGGUCCGCGCCGCCCCCGCCCCCGCCCCCGUCGAGGGUUCGCUCUCCUCUCUCCCUCGCGUUCCUGGGUGGUCCAUGAUUCAAUGCCGCGUCGUCUAGUUCCUCGCCUGCCUGUUUCGCCUUGCUCUCGCAUCGCUCGCUCGCUAGUUCUUCUUCGCACCUCCGGUUCCUACUGCGAGAGUUUUCGAGGGUUUUGGCAUGGGCAGCGUCGGACUCGAGUAAAUCGAGCCCUUCAGAUCGAACGUUUAGUCUUCUGGCGAUUGAUUUAGUUAUCUGAGAAGAGUGUCGAUCACAUAUUUAUCAUUAAUUUGUUCCGAUUUGUUUCCCGGUAUGGAGCAUAAUUAGUUCCUUUUGAUAUUUUUGGUAUGGAGUUAAUUAGUCUGCGUUACUAUUUUUGGUAUGGAGCUUACUUGAUUUGUGAUCAAUUUGUUCGAUGUUCCCGUGCUGUGUACGUAGUAAUUUAGAGUUCCAGAUCACCAGAAUUUUCACGAUUUGUUAUGGAUCUCGAAAGGUGGCAAGUAUCAAAGUCCUACUAUUUGAUAUAUGGAUCUCAAUUUGCUCUGCUAACGAAUUUUGUACGGAUGACUGUGUGAUCACAACUUCAUAACUAAGAGAGAACGAAUUCCUCACCAAAGCCAGCAGAAUUGAUAGGGCUGGUCCUUUUUCAUGGUCAAAACGUUCCAUGCACGAAUGUCCAAAACACUAUGGGAAAUGGUUCGGUAGAAUAUAUAUAGGGGUCCGCUUGUAUCUCAAAGUGUUUUUUGUGAGGGCUUGUAUCUCAAAGUUAGCUGGCUGUAUUCUCUUCUCCCCCAGGAAUGUUAUGCAGUACUAAUUGCUAUUUGACGUGUACAUGUAUAUUACUUCUGUUUCUAUGUUUCAUGCCUGAUGCUCUUUACUGUCAAGUUGAACAUGUAGUACAGUAGUAGUACUUCUUACUGAAAAUGAAAUUUCAUCAGCUGGCAUUUAUAAUCUGAGUUGCUGGUUUUACAUUGGCACUACUUUUCACCAUUUUAUGUUGUAUGCCUUUUUGUCUUUACAGGUUGCUGUCAGAUUUGUGUAUCUAGCAUUAGCUUCUGGAGUAGCAGGUUUUCUUCGUAAGUAUCAAAAGUAUCAUGUCUAUUAUAGAAGCAGUUUGGAAGUGCAUAAUCCCAUAUUGUCUUCUGGUGUAAAUUUCUCACAUGUUAUCCAUAUUUGCUUGGCUCAUGGAUAUUUACGUAGUUUCUUAUAAAAAAUGUGUACUCCACCUGUUCAGGACUCUGCAUAUAUAGAAACUUUCGAUUCAAG